UACAGAGGGUGCAAGCGUUGUUCGGAAUCAUUGGGCGUAAAGGGCGUGUAGGCGGUCUGUUAAGUCAUGUGUGAAAUCCCUCGGCUCAACCGGGGAACGACGCAUGAAACUGACAAGCUAGAGUACCAAAGAGGGGGGUGGAAUUCCCGGUGUAGCGGUGAAAUGCGCAGAUAUCAGGAGGAACACCGGUGGCGAAGGCGGUUCUCUGGGCCUUACCUGACGCUGAGGAGCGAAAGCAUGGGGAGCAAACAGG
rnacentral:rRNA from 1 species